UACGGAGGAUGCAAGCGUUAUCCGGAAUGAUUGGGCGUAAAGCGUCCGCAGGCGGCUGUGUAAGUCUGCUGUCAAAGAGCAAAGCUCAACUUUGUAAAGGCAGUGGAAACUACACGGCUAGAGUGCGUUCGGGGCAGAGGGAAUUCCUGGUGUAGCGGUGAAAUGCGUAGAUAUCAGGAAGAACACCGGUGGCGAAAGCGCUCUGCUAGGCCGCAACUGACACUGAGGGACGAAAGCUAGGGGAGCGAAUGGG
rnacentral:rRNA from 1 species